rnacentral:misc_RNA from 1 species
GCGAAUUCGCGCUUUAACCGAACGGCUGGCGCGUAUCCAAACGCAAAACGCGAAAUUUCGCGGUAAUUUGCCGAGGAUUUUCUAUCGGCCGUCUUCAACGACCCCUCUCCACGCCUGGAUCUCGUCUGUUGCGCCGCGAUUCAAUUAAUUGCGACGGUACUACCUACGUAACACCCUUGAAACCUUUGGAAAUCAGCGUGCCGUGUUUACGAAAGAGUCGAACCACAGAGAAGCGCGAAAUUAAAUAAUUACGCCACCUUUCGAUACGGGAUAAUUAAUUGUUUCACGUUCGAGUCGAGUAAACUGGCAUUUUGGUUGCGAGGAAAGGAACUCGGGUGGCUGCCAAACGAUAACGAUCGGCACUGUGGAAACGUUCCCUACGUAAAAAUGAGCAGCGCGAGCUUAAAAAUUAUUUACCAGCGAAUCGCUUAAUCGUCGC